ACCCUUGCAUCCCUGCUGGAGCUGGUAUUGGAAGGUGCAGCAUUAAAUGGCAGGACUACUGGGGAAAACCCUUAUCUCUGAAUCGGGAAGUUAUGGAGUGAAGCACCAUUACAGCACUUGAGCACACAAUUCAAGCUGCUCAUUAACUUCAUUGCUGCCUGUGGGAUUUUGCUGUGUGAAAACCAUAGCCCUGCUAGUAACAUGCUAGGAACGUAGAAACAGGCUGAAGAGUUCGGAUUUCUCCAGCCUUGCUGACACCCCUAUGGCUGGAGUGGAGUUGUGCUGGGAUUUCUGUGGACCAUGAAACCUUGCUAACCCUGAGCCAAGGAAAGCUGUUACUGUGCUUUGCCUCUCCUUCCUACAGAGCCCUGGCAUUAACAGAAUGAAGGAUUCAACUACUCCAACCCCUCAAUUUUUUAAAGGCACCAACUGUUGCUUGGACACAAGGGGGUGGUUAGGGAUUGGCCAUCAGUCUUCAGCUCCAGUAGUGAGUGUCAGCAGGCUCUUCAACCACAGGAACCAUCACAGCUCACCCAACCUUGACAUAUACUCUCCAGUGGAUUGAACCAAAUGGCAACCAGGAACAGAAACCCAGUUUUCUUCUUCCCCUCUUCCCUGAUGCAGUGAAGGGUACUGAGGGCAGCUAUAGGAUCCUUGACCUCCCCGUGCCCUCCCCACACCCCACUGCUAACUGAAUGAAGAACAGUUUCAAUCAAUGUACAACUUAGAGUUACAGAAAAUAUGGCACAGAAACAGGCCAUUCAUCCCAACCAGUCCAUUGUAGUGUUUAUGCUCCUGUUAUGAAGAUAUGCUUAUGUCAAAUAUUAGACUUCUAAAAAGAAAGAUUUUCUUUGAGACAGACUGAAGUGAUUUCAAAACUACAGCAAGAUGGCCAAAUCUAAUUACAUCACUAUAUCAAAGACAACAAGUCUACAAAUUCAUUAUAGACAAUGGCUUCCCUGGGGAUUUGUAAACAACCCUUUUCAUGCCUUAUCUAUAGAGGCAUCCACAGUAUUCAACAAUGGAAAAUGAGCCAUUCAAAGGUUAAUGUCUUGGACAAAGAACUUGAUUCUUUUUCUAAGAUAGCUCUCCAGAUGAGCUAAUCGAGUUAUCAGUGGAAAAUACAAUUUUUUUUGGAAAUACUGGCAGCUGGAGAGAAGUCUUGUGAGCAACCAAGCCUUUUGUGUGUAUUUGAAGCACCUUCUAGGGGAACAACAUCAGCAGCAAUCGAGAGAAGGGAAGCCUCCUGCUCUUUCUCUCUAUCCAUAGACUGAGCCCUGUCUGCUAAAUUUUCUUGUAUCUUCAUUGCUGCAGUAGACAGAGAUUUUAAAAAGGAAAAAUUCAAUUUCACAGCAGCGUCCAGGGAAGAAGAAAAUACCAGCUACAAUUUUAAACAGCUUUAACUCUGAAAGCAAGACAUUGAAUCUUAUCGGCAGCUAGGCAAGACAGUUAGCUAUGAGCUGUGAGUUUCUUUAAUUUUUUUCUGAACUCUAAUUUGAUCAAAUCUACCCUUGCUCCUCUGUAAUUUGUAUCUGUGUCAGUGUUUUUCCAGUGCAUGUUUGUGGAAAUUGGGAUGUAUUUUUAUAUUUUACCCAGGUGGGUUUUUAGUGUAAUAAAACUAGCCUCUUACUU